rnacentral:rRNA from 1 species
CCUACGGGGGGCUGCAGUGAGGAAUAUUGGUCAAUGGACGAGAGUCUGAACCAGCCAAGUAGCGUGAAGGAUGACUGCCCUAUGGGUUGUAAACUUCUUUUAUAUGGGAAUAAAAUGUUCCACGUGUGGGAUUUUGUAUGUACAAUAUGAAUAAGGAUCGGCUAACUCCGUGCCAGCAGCCGCGGUAAUACGGAGGAUCCGAGCGUUAUCCGGAUUUAUUGGGUUUAAGGGAGCGUAGGUGGAUUGUUAAGUCAGUUGUGAAAGUUUGCGGCUCAACCGUAAAAUUGCAGUUGAAACUGGCAGUCUAGAGUACAGUAGAGGUGGGCGGAAUUCGUGGUGUAGCGGUGAAAUGCUUAGAUAUCACGAAGAACUCCGAUUGCGAAGGCAGCUCACUAGACUACAACUGACACUGAGGCUCGAAAGUGUGGGUAGCAAACAGGAUUAGAUACCCUGGUAGUC